CAGUCGCCGCGGGAACACCAGCAGCCCAAGUGGUGGUCGCGUUUAUUGGGCCUAAAGCGCUCGUAGCCUGACCGGUAAGUUCCCCGUGAAAUCGGGUCGCCCAACGAUUCGGCUUGCGGGGAAUACUGUCGGUCUUGGGGCCGGGAGACGCCGAGGGUACUCCGGGGGUAGCGGUGAAAUGUUGUAAUCCUCGGGGGACUACCAGUGGCGAAGGCGCUCGGCGAUAACGGGCCUGACGGUGAGGGGCGAAAGCUGGGGGCGCGAACGGGAUUAGAUACCCCCGUAGUCCCUGUCUCUUAUU
rnacentral:rRNA from 1 species